AUUGAACGCUGGCGGCAGGCUUAACACAUGCAAGUCGAGCGGAGACUUCGGUCUUAGCGGCGAACGGGUGAGUAAUACCUAGGAAUCUGCCUAUUAGUGGGGGAUAACGAAUCGAAAGGUUCGCUAAUACCGCAUACGUCCUACGGGAGAAAGGGGGGGGAUCUUCGGACCUCUCGCUAAUAGAUGAGCCUAGGCCGGAUUAGCUAGUUGGUAGGGUAAAGGCCUACCAAGGCGACGAUCUGUAGCUGGUCUGAGAGGAUGGCCAGCCACACUGGAACUGAGACACGGUCCAGACUCCUACGGGAGGCAGCAGUGGGGAAUAUUGGACAAUGGGGGCAACCCUGAUCCAGCCAUGCCGCGUGUGUGAAGAAGGUCUUCGGGUUGUAAAGCACUUUAAGCGAGGAGGAAGGUUUUUAGUUUAAUACACUAAAGAAUUGACGUUACUCGCAGAAUAAGCACCGGCUAACUCUGUG
rnacentral:rRNA from 1 species